UAUGUCGUUCAGUAUAUUUUUCUGAACACAAUGACGUAAUAAAACCUUGUGUUGCAAUUUUUUCUAGGUACCCCUCCUUUUUUCCGUAUUUUGACUGGACUAACGCCGGUUGUCGUUACUCCUGGGGGUGAAACGAGGUAAAAUAUAUUUUUACGAAUUUCUCCAUAUCUCUUAGGCCCGAUGAGAUAUCGACUUGGUUCUUUUUAUUUAACAUACCGUAGUGAAACACGGGUAUCAAGCUUUAUCAAUAAAUACCGAUAAAAUUUAUAUUGUCUGUCAACCAUACUCGCGAUAAAGACUACUUUGGAUGCAGGACGAUUGACGGGUAGGUGUUGGUAUGGCACUUGGUUUACCUUUGAUCACGAAUAAAUAUAAAAGGAAAAUCGUGUGUUGUUCCUUGAGCAAGGAUCAAGUAAGAAAAUCAGAUGAUAGUGAUAUGAUAUUCAGCUUAGACGAGGAUCAUCUCGAGAACAAUGUUACAUCUGACAAUGCAACACGCACUUGUAUAGGAAAUCCCGCCACUUUGGUACCCCUAUAUACAAAAGCAAAGACCACGCUCACCUUUGCGUUUAAAAUCAUUCACUACUCAUAGACGUAAACAUGUGACUUUGAAAGGAAGAUACAGGGUGGAUAUAACGCCUUUAUCUUAUCUACCAGGUGGAAGGAUAGAGAGAUAUCAAGGCAACCUAAAUUUUUUUUCAUUUGCGAAAGUACAUCGAUAUACGGGAGGUGAAUGAGUUCAUAAUGACGAUUAUUCUCAACGGACUGUUAGAAAUUCAACUAUUAAAAUCCUGAUGAUGAUGAUGUGUUACAUCAGAAUGGUGGAUUGAGUGGUUUCACUCACAGUUUCGUAAUGGAAGUUUUGGCAAUUGUUCGCGCGCACAUUACGGCAUAUUAAGCGGUAAAGCUAUGGCAGCGUUCUUUAUGACGCAGUGUGUGCUUCUUCACAGCCCUCACAAAAAUCAAGGUUAAUGUCUCAUUAAUAUGGAUGACGAUGUCGUAACAGCAUCUUAUUAUGCGGAUGGGAAGCACAGUGCUGUUUCAAAUUACUGACUCCAACCUCCACAUUCGGCACCAUGAACGACUAUUUAAUAACUGCAAUUAAUGUUGUUGAAAAAUAUAUGUGUUUAUAUUUACCAGUAUCAAUGAUGUUAUAGAUAGGAUCGUGUAUAGCGGUUCUGUGAGAGUUUCAUUGCAUUUUGCAAUACCUAAUCUCAACUCUUUGCAGCAAUCGACAUUGUUAUUUAUUAAUUUAUUUUACAAAGAUAUAGAUGCGAUACUUAAGGUAUUCCUUUCAUAUAUGACACCAAAGUCUUAAGAAUUAACUGAUUUUUUGGUAUGAGAAAGUUAAAAUGCAUAUCUUUACGCCAGAAAA